rnacentral:lncRNA from 1 species
CUUCAUCAGAUUUUCCAUUCAAGUCACUUCAUGUUGGGGAAGUUAGUUCUGUUGAGGGUUUCACCACUGCACUCUGGGCAAUAUCUUGGUUUGGUUGAUUAAGGAUUUCUGACCACAGUUUAUAUAAGAAUCAGAUGCUUGGAAACAUCUCAAGUCUUGCAAAAGUUGCCAGCCAGAAACAAGCUCACAUAAGGAUGGAAUGUUGCUUCUCACCAAGCUCACUGAUUGGAUUACUCUUGUCUUCAUCUAGUUUUCUUUUUUUUCCUGAAGCUCGUCUAUUCCAGCAUUGUUUAUCUUUGUUUUUGUUGCUCUUAUCUUCUAUAUCUUGGUAUUUAAUUGGCUGGUAGCAUAAUCUCUAUGUUCUAUUUAGCCCAAUGUUUUCAGUUCCUUCUUAAUCCUGCUUUAUUUAUGCCAAGUUGAUAGCUCUCCCAAAAGAAUUACAAGACAAGGAUUUAGUAAAGAGUUUAGAGCAUGUAGAUUAUAGGAAUGCACUGAUGGUCCAUAAAUG